rnacentral:rRNA from 1 species
GACGAACGCUGGCGGCGUGCUUAACACAUGCAAGUCGAACGCUGAAGCUCAGCUUUUGUUGGGUGGAUGAGUGGCGAACGGGUGAGUAACACGUGAGUAACCUGCCUCCUUCUUUGGGAUAACGCCCGGAAACGGGUGCUAAUACUGGAUAUUCACUGGUCUUCGCAUGGGGGUUGGUGGAAAGGGUUUUUCUGGUGGGGGAUGGGCUCGCGGCCUAUCAGCUUGUUGGUGGGGUGAUGGCCUACCAAGGCUUUGACGGGUAGCCGGCCUGAGAGGGUGACCGGUCACAGUGGGACUGAGAUACGGCCCAGAAUCCGACGGGAGGCAGCAGUGGGGAAAAAUGCACAAUGGGAGCAAGCCUGAGGCAGCGACGCCGCGUGAGGGAUGGAGGCCUUCGGGUUGUGAACCUCUUUCGCUCAUGGUGAAGCCGCAACAAUGGUUGUGGUGAGGGUAGUGGGUAAAGAAGCGCCGGCUAACUACGUG